CUCAAAUCUCAUCUUGUAGCUCCCAUAAUUCCCACAUGUGGGGACCCAGUGGGAGAUGACUGAAUCAUGGGGGCGGGUCUUUCCUGUGCUGUUCUCAUGAUUGUGAAUGGGUCUCACGAGAUCUGACGAGAUAUGAUGGUUUUAAAAGCAGGAGUUUCUCCACACAAACACUCUCUAUGCCUGCUGCCGUGCACGUAAGAUGUGAUGUGCUCUUCCUUGCCUUCCACCAUGAUUGUGAGGCCUCCCCAGCCAGGUGGAACUGUGAGUGGAUUAAACCUCUUUCUUUUGUUAAUUGCCCAGUUUCAGGUAUGUCUUUAUCAGUGGCGUGAAAACAGAUUAAUACAGUCUUGCUCUGUCACCCAGGCUGGAGUGUAGUGGCACGAUGACAGCUUACUGCAACCUCUGCCUCCCACGCUCAAGCGAUCUUCCCACAUCAGCCUCAAGUAGCUGAGACUACAGUCCUGCACCACUGGGUUUCAUCACGUUGCCCAGGCUGGUCUCAAACUUCUGGACUCAAAUGAUCCUCCCGCCUUGGCUCUCAAAGUGCUGGAAUUACAGUAUGUGUAGCUGUUUGACUUCGUUUUUUGAAGAUAGAGACACAUUUGCCAUGAAGCUUAAGUUCAGGACCCCUCGCUAGCAUGGGCAUCUCCCCUGGAAUGUAUCCAUAUGGCCAUAUGUUUCUACAAAGGCUGCAAAGGUGAGAUUAAGGUAAGAUCGUUUGACUACAAUUCCUUUCCACUCUGAUUUUCUUCCUUACACUUCCCUUCAUGUUAAUACGAUGUUAGCAUGAUGGAUAUAAGUGGCUGAAAGCAUUUUUGGGGUCUGAAUAAGAGGAAGUAGAGCUCUGAAUAUAUUUAGUUUGGGUUUAGUGGGAUAUAUUUAUGUGGUUUCUAGGCUGUCCAUGUGUAGUUAAGUUAUCAUUAGCCAUCCCAGUAGAGGAUGGCUUCCAGGAAUACUCCUGCCCACUGUCUGAGUCACCUGUGGUGGUGACGUAAAGGUGCAGAACCAAAGGUCAUCUCAUAUAUGAAUGUGUUCUAUGGCAUGCAGAACCAAAAGUAUGUGGAAGUGGAU
rnacentral:lncRNA from 1 species